GAUGAACGCUGGCGGCGUGCUUAACACAUGCAAGUCGAACGAUGAAGCCCAGCUUGCUGGGUGGAUUAGUGGCGAACGGGUGAGUAACACGUGAGUAACCUGCCCUUAACUCUGGGAUAAGCCUGGGAAACUGGGUCUAAUACCGGAUAGGAGCGCCUACCGCAUGGUGGGUGUUGGAAAGAUUUAUCGGUUUUGGAUGGACUCGCGGCCUAUCAGCUUGUUGGUGAGGUAAUGGCUCACCAAGGCGACGACGGGUAGCCGGCCUGGGAGGGUGACCGGCCACACUGGGACUGAGACACGGCCCAGACUCCUACGGGAGGCAGCAGUGGGGAAUAUUGCACAAUGGGCGAAAGCCUGAUGCAGCGACGCCGCGUGAGGGAUGACGGCCUUCGGGUUGUAAACCUCUUUCAGUAGGGAAGAAGCGAAAGUGACGGUACCUGCAGAAGAAGCACCGGCUAACUACGUG
rnacentral:rRNA from 1 species